UUCCUCUCUCUCUCUCUCUUUUCUUUUUUGUUGAGCACCAAUAAUGUUUUCAAGUUGACCUGGGCAUCAACAGAAAUUUGACAAUUUGAAGUAUGGUGAAAUCUCCAAGCAAAUAAAGCUCAGAUUAAUUCAUGCCCAGUAAUAAUUCUUAUCGAAGACGAAGUCGAGAGAGCCAUUGGCUCAUUGCGUGGAGUAGAUGUGAGUGGUGACUGAUAAUUAGAAACACUUGUACGCCCAAAUCCCGUAUUUAUUUUGUGAAGAAAGAACAAAAAAAGAGAUGGCUUUAAGGUUGAUGAUGAAGCCACCACUGUCAUCUUCCAAAGGCUUGCUCUUCUUCUACUUGGUUGUUUUGUUUUCAUGCAGCCAAUCCGUUAAUGCCCAGACUAACCAGACUAACGCCACAACCGAUCCUUCUGAAGUCAAUCCAUUACUGCCCAGACUAACGCCACCACCGAUCCUUCCGAAGGAUUUCAAGACCAUUUCUUCUUGAAAUUUCGGUGGGAAACAGCCAUGGAAGAGGGUUUGGAGCUGGUAUUCCAUAUUUUGGCUUCAAGUAAGUUUAAUUCUUGCUUUUUCCUUGAAAUUUUUAUAUUUUUGGACUUUUACAAUUAGGUCUAACUUAGUAUUCUACUAGUUUCUCAUUUUGUUGAAAGUUUUGGAAGAUACCAAUGAUAAGUUCAUAUGAUUUUUAUUAUUUUA